rnacentral:rRNA from 1 species
UGAGUUUGAUCCUGGCUCAGAAUGAACGCUAGCGAUAAGCUUAACACAUGCAAGUUGAACGUCUCUUUUUGUUUUUUCUCAAUUUGAAAAAUUUAAAAAGGAGAAGUAGCGAACGGGUGAGUAACGCGUAAGAAUCUACCUCACAAACCAAGGAAAGAGAAAUCUGAAUCUUGGAUACUCAAAGUUAAAAGACGUUGUGAGAUGAGCUUGCGUAGGAUUAGGUAGUUGGUAGGGUAAAAGCCUCCCAAGCCGAAGAUCCUUAGCUGAUCUGAGAGGAUGAUCAGCCACAUUGGGACUGAGACACGGCCCAAACGCUUUCGAGCGGCAGCAGUGAGGAAUAUUGGACAAUGGGCGAAAGCCUGAUCCAGCUAUAUCGCGUGGGUGAUGAAGACUGUGUUGGUUGUAAAGCCCUUGACUCUUUGAAAGAUUAUGACAAACAAAGAGCAAAAAGUCCCGGCCAAUCUCGUGCCAGCAGCCGCGGUAAUACGAGAGGGGCGAGCGUUAUUCGGAAUGAUUGGGCGUAAAGCGCACGUAGGCGGUUUAGAAAAUCCAAAAUCGAGAAUCUCAAAGCUUUACUUUGAGAAGUAUUUUCUGCGAUUCCUAAACUUGAGUAAGUAAGAGGAGAAUGGAAUUCCUGGUGUAGAGGUAAAAUGUGUUGAUAUCAGGAGGAACAUCAAAAGCGAAGGCAAUUCUCUAGUACUCUACUGACGUUGAGGUGCGACAGCGUGGGGAUCAAAAGGGAUUAGAUACCCCUGUAGUCCACGCCGUCAACGAUGACCUUUCUAUAAAUAGCAAAAGCCGUCAUGAUUCAUGAUCCUUUUGACGUUUGUAUUAGCUAACGCGGUAAAUGGUCCGCCUGAGGAGUACGGUCGCAAGACUAAAACUCAAAGGAAUAGACGGGGGCUCACACAAGUGGUGGAACAUGUGGUUUAAUUCGAAACAACGCGCAAAACCUUACCAGUCCUUGACAUAAUCUUUCCAUAAUCUUUCCCUAAAAAAGAUAAUUUAAACUUUAGAGUUUAAAAUGAAGAUUACAGGUGUUGCAUGGCUGUCGUCAGUUCGUGUUGUGAAAUGUUGGAUUAAUUUCCUUAACGAACGAAACCCCUCUACUCAUUCACAAGUGUUAUGAAAAAUUUUUUUCAUAACACUUGAAAAUGAAUAUACAGCUGGUGAUAAACUAGAGGAAGGGAGGGAUCACGUCAAGUCCUCAUGACCCUUAUGGGCUGGGCUACACACGUGUUACAAUGGUAAGUACAAAGAGCAGCAAUGAUGAAAGUCGGAGCAAAUCUCAAAAAACUUACCCCAGUUCAGAUUGUUCUCUGCAACUCGAGAACAUGAAGCCGGAAUCACUAGUAAUCGUGGAUCAGCACGCCACGGUGAAUAUGUACCUGAGCCUUGUACUCCCCGCCCGUCACGGUCUCAGAGUUGAGUGCAUCAGAAGUAAUGUAUCGUCUUUCAAACACGUUAAGACUCUUUUUUUGUAAAAAAAAAGACAAGAUCUUGAAGAUCUUUUUUUACGUUUUAAAAGACGCAUUCCCAAGAUGUGUUUAGCGAUAGGAUCGAAGUCGUAACAAGGUAGCCGUAGGGGAACCUGCGGCUG